ensembl:lncRNA
GAUGAUGAAAACUCUACUGUGAACAUCUACCUUGCUAGAUUCUCCACUUACCAAAUAACCAAAUACUCCUGAGGAUCCAGAAUAGAACUUAAGAAGCUGAAGGCCAAGUAGUUCUACAUAGCCAUGAAGAAGGCCAGAGACCUUCUUGAGAUGUUAUCUACAGAGCUGGUCUGGAUGGGAUGCCAGUCUAAACCUACACAUUAAUCUGAAGCCAAUGGAUUGAGGCAUCAAGAAUGCCAACAAGCAGGGCAAGCGCUGAAGUCAGGUGAGGACCCCACCCACUGCUCAGCACAUUGCACUGAACUGGCUCCACACGAAGAAAGAGAGCCCGAAUCAGUUCAAGAGCGUGUCAGGCCUUAUGAGAUUGGACCAGCUUCUAUAAGAAUAGGUUGUUACCAGUGAUCCUGGAACCUCCUGAAAAUCCUUCUUCUGGACAUACUCCAACCAUUGUGAUGCCAUCUACCAUGACGCACUCAUCAGAGCCAAACAAAAGCUGGUGCUGUGCUCUUGAAUCUCCAGAACUAGGCACUUCCUUCCAGCUGGAUCAUUUAAUGGCAUAAUGUGAAGGCAAGAUCCACAGAAGUGGGUUUGGAGGAGGGACUUGAAGGAGAAAAUGCAGAUCAUCAUGGGAAGACUAUGGGAAAUUGCACCCAGAUGGGAGGUCUUCAGUCACAAGGAAGAAGCCCAUUUUUUAAAAAUGAGAACCCAUUAUAUUCUAUACCUUUCUUAUUCAUAUAGGAUGUUCCUUUUGACCAGACAUCACCAAAUUUGAGUGAUUUUCUACUGGUUUAUUCUCCUCUCUACCCCUGAACAGCUGUAGGCAGUGAUAGCAUCAAAGGCUACAACUAUAGUUAUAGGUUUUCCUGGACACUGGUGAGCAGAGCUGAUCCAAGAUGAGAACAAGUCAAAGAAUAAUUAUUAGGCACUUGUCCAAGUCACUCUAGAGAUAUAUGUUAAUGAGUAUUAGAUGCAUAUGUAUAAAAUGAUAAUAUAAAACAGAUUCCUUCAUGACCUAAGAGAGAUACAAAUAAAGGGGACAAUAGAUGUGAAUUCUGAUUGUGAGGUUGGAGGACAGAAGUGCAAAUUAGAGAAGAUAGAAGGUUCAAAGGACAAUAAGGAUAUGUGGAAAAAAGAUUUUUUUGCCUCAUUACUUAGAUAAAUCCAGGAGCAGCACUGGCUUUACAUGUUUGCCAGGCAUCCAUAAACUCAGAUGCUGUAGGGACCAGGAAGGUAUCAUAAAUAAGUGAAUCAAGCAAUUGAGGGAUAUGUCCAAUGGAAAGACAUUCAGUUCAUAUUACACACCCAAAGUCAAAGAAUUCAAGUCAUUGUCUGCAGGCCUUCUCCAUUUUUCUAAAGGCCCCUCCCUGCCUCAAAAUUCAGACACAGCUAUCUCCUGCAAACUAGGGAGAAGGUCAACACUGCACCCCUCCCUACUUUAAGGACACAAUCAAGCCUGCAUAAUCUAGAAGAAUGGUAGAGUAGCUCUCAAACAUAAUACACAUUUCAACUAGAGAAGAUGGGAUUCUUUAAAGAGCUGUUGCGUUAAGUGCUGUGUUGCAUGCCUGUAAUCCCAGUUACUCAGGAAGCUGAGGCAGGAGGACCACAGUUGGGGCCAGGCUUAUCUGAAAAUGCAAUGAAAGGGGCUGGGAAUGUAGCUCAGUGGUAGAGCCUUUCACCAGGAAGCAUAAGGAAUCUUCAGUACUGCCAAAAACAAAUUGUUAUUUAAACAGGACAACUGAAUCAGUUUCUGCAGGGCAUUCUGUCACUGUGAUAUGCAGUCCUUGAGCAGAAUUUCUAGGAGACUUGACUGAGUCUCUUGGUUUUCCAGAACUGCCCCCAAGGGGAGGGUGAGGAGGAGCUCUGCUUCAGCAAGAGUGGCUACUUCACAUUUGGGAUUCUGAGUAUGACUUGCCUGAAGAGUGCAGGACCUCUGAGAUCGUGUGACACAGAUGAGGAAGUCCCAUCCUACCUCCUCGGAGCAGGCCUUGGGUGUGAUGGCCUCCUCGGUUGCACAUGAUGUUCCACACAGAGCUCUUCCUCUUCUGCUCACACACAGUGAUGCAUCCACCCCUCACUCCCAUCCCAUGCCAGCAAAUACAAGGCCUUGGAUGUUGUUGCUGAAAAAGGAUAACUUAUUAAAAUAAAGUCACAUCAAUCCUGAUGGGAUUAACAGCUUGCUAUAGAAUUUUCCCGAAUUGAAGAACUGUAAUUCUGAGCUUAAUGUACUUCAAAAGUACCAAAUUGCAUUAAAGGAAAAAGAAUAAAUUCAUGCACAGUGAGACUGAAGAAUGGAAAAGAAAAGGAGGGAAAAACUUGUAAAAAAAUUAAAUUACAAUUAAUCCCUGGACAUUCUCUCCUUUGAUCCUUUCAACAAUAAGCAAACCUAUCAACAUAUAUUAAAGUUGUAGAGGCUUUAUAUUAAAUUAGAAUGUUAUAUAUUCUGCAAGCAAACAGGAAAAUUUCAUAACUCCCCACCCAUUUUUACAACUAGGGAUUUUAGACAUUUGCAAAUAGAUUUUCUUUUUGUUUUUCCUUUGGUUUCACUUAAUGAUUCUCAAACUCCACUAUGUAUGGAAAUAUUUUGUAGAAGGCUAGACUUUCACUACCAAGCACAUGAACAAGAAGAAUUUUGAGUCUAUAAGAUUCUCACCUGAUAUUCAGUUGGCUGUUGCAGCCAUGCAUAUACAGGAAGCUGACUCCCGUGCAUUCAACUGUUUACUUUCCAUAUGUUUUACAAGUUUUUUCCAUUUCAAAAAAGUAGUCAGGUUUAUUCCUUGCCUAAGGCAAGAAAAAAGAAAACCUGUUUGAAAGGAUGAGGGGAAGGAAAUCAACUGCUUCUGAGGUAGGACUGAAGAAGUAAAGAUAGGUAGAAAGGAGACAAGGACAAUCAUAAUUUUCUUUUCUUUUCUUUUUUUUUUUUUUGGUACCUGGGAUCGAACUCGGGUCCUUGCGCUUUCGAGGCAGGUGGUGGAACCACUAAGCUACAUCCCUGGCCCCAGGAUAACCAUAAUUUGAAAUUGUGCAUUUAAGAAAACUGCAGCAGCUUUAGGAUACAAAGUUACACUAGGUUACAAUACUUUUAUACCUUUCAGGAAACUCACUCCCCC